rnacentral:lncRNA from 1 species
CAACCAUUUGUUCAAAAAUUAAGUCCUCGUGGAGGCUCCUUGCUUGCCAAGGGUGUUUUGUCCAGUCUCCAGCAUGUUUUCAGAAAAUAAUAUUGAUAAUAAUAAAACAAAUGCAACAAGAAGUUAUUUAUUUCUCUAACUACCAGGACUGCAAAAACUAAUGGCCAUGAAGAUGUCACUCCACCCACAGACAAGGGCAGAGUCUGCCGCAGCACGACAAAGAAAUACUGAUUUGAAAGCCUUAAACUCUUGAACUUUUCUCUUCUCUGGGCAGUCGUGGGCAAAUCUUUUUGCCUCUUCGGUUGCCUCACCUCUGAAACAGACGUAAUGACACUUGGCAGCAUUGUUUAGAGCGCUAAUUGGUGUUUGUAUAAAGCUUUGGUGAUGUAAGCUGCCAUGUAAGCACAGGGAUGACUAUUGCUUUGAUACUGCUUGUUAAUUGCAACAGGAUGGGUAGUAGUCAUGCUGGAGUAUUUAAACAUGUUUUUUAAGAUGUAUUCCUAGAUCUCAUCCAGUGUUUUAAGAGAAUCUUUACUUCUGCAUUAGACAAAAGGCCAACAAAAUCUUUGUGCACUUAGUGGUCCUGCAGACAUUUUCUGAAAAUGUGCAAGGGGUGCUCCCUGCAUCAGACCCCAUAUCUCUGGGCCUUUAGCUUCCAGCCUCAUUGAGUGAGCUCCGUGCAGUGCUCGUUGCUUAAUACACUUUCUUCUCACUUCAUCAGUGAGAAAGAUCGAGAUCCAGAGAUUAUCUUCACUUCUAGACCCAUUUGUAGCACAGAGAUCUACAGAUCAAGAACAGAAGUGAAUGUACAUCAUGUGGGCUUAUCUCCUUUACGUAAUAAUUUUUUCUCAAAUUCUCUCUCCCCUUUGACAGACAAUCAUUCACUCAUCGCACAAGGACUGACAGUGAGGCCAACAAUGCAUGCUGUGCUUUGGAUACAAAGAGCAAUGCAAUCAUACAAAUGUCAAAUGCCAAAGAGGAGCACGCGGAAGCAGUGAAAGGCUCGGAGUGAAAGUGAUGAACAGUAAGGAGAAACUGGUAUGUCGUAGUGUUUGUCUGUGUGUCUGCAGGUGAUGUCAUUAAAAGGCCACGCAUAUGGCCACUGAUAGCUCUGUGCCAAUUACCGUUUGGGAAGCACAGGACAAGGAGGUAAAUGGGAACAGAAUCCUGGUGAUGGAACUCCUUAUCAGGGGAAUAAACAAGGAAGAGGACUGACCUUUCCA